CAACAACAACAACAACAACAACAACAACAAAAAAAAAAACUCGGGAAUGCCACACACCAGCCCGUUUUACUGAACUGAACUGAAUUGAAGGGUGAUACAUUCAAGCGCCUGGCAUCCUCUUUCUCGAUCAGAUGUCAUUCACAAAUCAAGAUUAGGAAACAAAUGGCUGAAAAACAUGAAGUCGUCAGCUUUCUCAAUUCAUGGUCUGCCAUUUUAAACCCUAAGAAGCUCUGUCGCUCUGCUGUAUUGAUAUUUCCUUACAGCGAAUUUGUGUGCUGUGAUACCCAGGGCCUGGCAUCGCUACUGCUACACAUAUAAGCUGGUCAACUUAUGUAUCCACAUUGCAUACAAUCUAAAGCGGAAUGGGGAGUUACUGGCAUGUGAAAAGGAACCGGUGGAGUGGAGGAAGGAAGGAAGUCUCUUUUCACAGGAGGUCCUUUACUCUGCACUAGUGGACGCAAACUGAAUAGCAUGACAACACCCCCUGAUAGUGCUCUAUAAAAAAAGAAAAUCCAUGGCAACAGCAACAAGGAAGCAAAACAAACACCACAGCAGUGUAUUACAACAGUACGAGAAUACAGACAAGCAUUAAACAACCAAAAGGUUGUUUAGCUCUCAGACUGACCACCGGACCACCCCAGGAACCGUACAGCUACGUUAAAUGGUUGUUCUUUAUUAUUAUGUCCAACAACAAAAAUCAAUACAUUCUGUAACAACAUCCGUCCGUCCCCAAGGAAAUGUCAACAACAAGAAUGUCUACCCCCUCUUUCCCAGAGAUUCUAUAAUAUCCACAAAGUAAGUAUUCAGGGGGAAACCUCAGGAAAUCCAUGGCUGAGGGCAGCCCUUCCUCCAGGCUCUAUGCAGUCAACUCCCGUUUCGGCCUCCCAGCUCUUGACUGAGCAACCGAAACAAAAAGAAGCGACAAGAAUGAAUAGAACACAGAGCUCCUUCCAGGAAAGCAACCAAGUUUACAACUCUUAGCAGUCCGGCUCUUUCAGUAACUUGGCAGUGAUGUGGUUGCAAUUAUGGAGGACUCACUGGAUCCAGGAAACAGUAAACUUCAAGAUGGGGGGAUUGACAGUGCAGGCAAGCUGGCAAGUUUAUAGCUCAUUGACGUAUGGAUGUAAUUUUAAGUACUGUAACUGAACUCGCAUGGCUCCCUAAAUGAAAUGACUGGUUGCUGGCACUGGAACUGUGAACUUCCUGCCAGAUUGAUAACGAACAGUAGAUUUCUCCAAACAACGCAAAAAGUCUCCAUAAAAGGUGCUUGAUUGACAGCCAUAGAAACUGAAGUCCUCUCUCUCACCCAUGGAGCAAGUAAAGCACUGGCAGUGACAAUGAAAGUGUUCCUAUAUGACCCCCUACAAGGUAACACCCUCUGAGGUA